GCAACUCGACUGCAUGAAGUCGGAAUCGCUAGUAAUCGCAGAUCAGCAAAGCUGCGGUGAAUGCGUUCCCGGGCCUUGUACACACCGCCCGUCACACCACGGGAGUCGGUCGCGCCUGAAGCCGGUGGCCUAUCAGUAAUGGGGGAGCCGUCUAUGGCGAGAUUGGUAACUGGGGUGAAGUCGUAACAAGGUACC
rnacentral:rRNA from 1 species